rnacentral:rRNA from 1 species
AUGAACGCUGGCGGCGUGCCUAAUCCCUGCAAGUCGCGCGAACAGACGAGGAGCUUGCUCCUCUGACGUUAGCGGCGGACGGGUGAGUAACACGUGGAUAACCUACCUAUAAGACUGGGAUAACUUCGGGAAACCGGAGCUAAUACCGGAUAAUAUAUUGAACCGCAUGGUUCAAUAGUGAAAGACGGUUUUGCUGUCACUUAUAGAUGGAUCCGCGCCGCCUUAGCUAGUUGGUAAGGUAACGGCUUACCAAGGCAACGAUGUGUAGCCGACCUGAGAGGGUGAUCGGCCACACUGGAACUGAGACACGGUCCAGACUCCUACGGGAGGCAGCAGUAGGGAAUCUUCCGCAAUGGGCGAAAGCCUGACGGAGCAACGCCGCGUGAGUGAUGAAGGUCUUCGGAUCGUAAAACUCUGUUAUUAGGGAAGAACAAAUGUGUAAGUAACUAUGCACGUCUUGACGGUACCUAAUCAGAAAGCCACGGCUAACUACGUG